AAAACGCAGAGAGUUCCAGAGACCCAAAUAGAAGCAGAAAACAAUGGAAAAAAAAUGCAAAGAGAAGAGUCGAGAAACAUGAGGAAAAAGAGAGAGAAAAGAGGGGAAGAGAAACAAUAACUAGAAUUGCAAAUAAACAAGAAAGGAGCAGGAACAUCGACGUGAACAAGGUCGAAUUAUGCUUCUCGCUUGGGGUUGAUUCUUGACUGCAACAAGGUAACACCAAAUUGUAGUAGUUUAGGUUUAUGGAUUUUGUUUUCAUCAUUAUAGUUAUUGGUAGCAAUUAGACCUAAGAAGCAGGGCAAGCCCUAAGGAAGAAAGGAAAUGGGUUAAUUUGAUCAUGCGAACAAGAAUUUCAUCAUAAAAUAAUUGGAAUUUUACGUGAUGGGUUGUGCAUAAUGAUGCCCAUAUAUAGCUAAAUACAGGUACUAAGGCAAGAGAUGGGUUAGUUCAACAAAGGUAAGUAGGGUUAUUAUGAAUAUAAGUCCACCAUUAAACAUUAGUAAAGGAGUGGAGAAACAACAGGAGAAUCUUUGGCUUAAACUUUGGAGACUUGUUAAGACAUUACUGAUGAAUUCUAUAUGAAAGAAAUUUAAUGGCUUAUUUUCAAUAAAGAAAUGAUAUGGGCAAGAUUAUGGUGAAUUAUAAUUUAAUUUUAUGGUGCUAGGUUGUUUUGUUUUAUUUUCAAAGUUAAACCAAUGCUUCAAAUUGUGAAAUAUUAUAUGGACAGAAAUUUAUAUACAUUGAAUAGAAACAGGAACGAGAAUGAGUUAAAAGAGUUUUGAUUAUGGAUUUGACCAAUUGUUAUUAAUUGGUACCUGCAACAAGAGAGAGAAGAAUGGGACUCUACUUUAAAUUCUUCUUUCACCUUUAAACAAUAGUAAUGAUUUUCAACUAGAAAGUGACUGCAAUUGGAUAUUUCUUUGGUCCAUUGGCUAGGGGGUUGGAUUAAAUGGUUGCUAAUACGAAGAAAUGUUACAUUUUUCAGGAAAUAUCGAGGUCAGGACACUUGGUGAUCGAAUUAGUCCUGUGAGUGGAAAAAGAUAAAUAUUUUUAAAGUAUUUAUAAAUUAAGUUAUUUUUAAAGUAUGUGCAAUUAUAUACAAUUAUGUGUUCGAAUUACAUGAUUUUUAUGGAAAUAUCUUUUAUUAUGAUACAUGUGGGGUUUCAAAUAUUGUAUGCGUUACAUUGUGAAUUGGAAUAUGAGAUAUGAUUUUGAGAUCGACCAGAAAAGUACCCGUGAUUAUAUAUUUCUUCUAGUUCACUGAGGGGCCUUGGCCGUGUUCUAUACUACACUGAGGAGUCAUGGACCGGGGAUGAAGGGGUCUCGACCGUGUACAUAUAGUUCACUGAGGGGUCUUGGCCGUGUUCUAGAAUUGAUUUUGAGAGGUUUUUGAGACCGACUUUCGUUCACAGAGGGGCUAAGGGCCCGUGGCGAAAGUUUUUAGCCCGAGAGGCGGAUUACAUAUUUCAGUCAGAGGGUACAUUUUUUGUGGAUUUUUCAGCACGUUUGAUGUGAUGAGAUUAUAACAUGAUUAUCAACUGAUGUUUUAUCAUGAUUUCGAGAUGAUAUUUUACGACCUUAUGUGAAUAUUUCACUUUUGGUUAUAAUUACAUGAUAUUAUCUUGUGAAUUAUUAAAUGAUAUGAACUCGAUUUUUGAUAGAAAUGUAAAAUUGAAAAAGUAUAAUUAUUUUUGAACUGCUCCACUCACUGAGUUAUCAACUCAUAUAUUUUUUCACAAUUUUUCCUACAGGUGGAAAUUGAUUCUUUUUAGCUGGAAGAGCCUAAUGAUUUCAGAAUGAGAGCCACACGACAUGUUGAAUGUUAUAAUUCAUAUUAAUGAAGCACGAAAAAAAUAUUUUGGGCCCAUCAAAUUAUAUUUUAUAUAAGCACUAGAUUUUAUUGCAUUUUUUGAAAAACUCAUAGUCAGCCUUGGUGAUAGAUUUGAUAUCUAGUCAGCAUCUAUCAUCGGCGCACGUCACGUUUCGGGUCCACUAGGGUGAUUUGGGACGGGUCGUGUCAAAAUACUUCCCUUGUAUAACAUUGAAGGGGUAAUGCAAGAAUCAAUACAAGAAAUCACGCUUUACUCUCUCUUUCAUAUUAUCUUACAACACAAUACGAGUUGAUACAGAUUUAUAUUCACAUUCAUGAGCAUCGAUUGGUAAUUAUUGUACAAUCGGAUUACGAACAUCCUGUUGGAUUUCGAACGUUCUCGUCUCGCAUCGUUGAGCUACUCCCAUGCCCCUGAUUCUUCCGUUCUGGACCGUCCACGUGUCUUAGCGUGUAGGACCUUCGCUCAUGUGUGCACAAGUGGGUCCAGCAUCUAUUGGCAACACUUUUUGGGGUCAACAAAUUGGCGCAAUCUGUGAGAAAUCAUACCAUAACAACGAACAACCUUGUGGUGAAAGCUUAUUGAAGAACACUUGGGCAUCCCCCUUGAAAAAGGAUUUCAAGAACAAGAGGAAGCCCCACAACUUAGCAAAAUCUGAAGAGUUAGACUAAAAGAAAAUGAGUUCAAACGAAGACACACCCCUAGAAGGGUAAGAGAAAAUGCAAAUGUGCCUCUUCCACCCGCUGUCUCAGCAAUUCGGCAAAGACUCCACCACCACCAAAGAAGAGGUGGAAUGUGGGCGACGACACAGCUAUCAAGAGAAAUGGCUGCCAUGACGGCUAACAUGAGGGAUAGUGCUAGCCAAAACUUGGCUAUGAGGGAGCUCAUGGCCCAAAUGCAGGGCCAAGGAGGCUUCCCCAUUCCUUCAUACGCCCCUCAAGGGCACUACCAGCAAGAAGAUAAAAUUCAAAGUUAAAGAGCUGCCUUGCCGGAUUAUAGCCAAGGUGGAAGCCCAUUUGAAAGGGAAGUUGAAGUUGAUGUUUCCUCCAACUACGCCUCUGGCCGACCCACCGAGGUCCCAUUGAACCAUGAUAACUUUCCAUCUCCGUAUGAGCAAGAGUCAAGACAUAGGAGCCCAGGCAGUGUAUUUGACAGAAUCAGCCCCGCUGAACCGAGGUUUAGGCAACAGCAGACUCACCAGCCUUGGACAAGGCUACCUGCUCCACCUCCAAUGCCCCAGCAGUCGGAAGAAAGCAUGAAACUGCCCCCUGUGUUACUCCUCCUAGAAAUAGGCACCAGAGGAGGGAGAACGAGGCUAGGAACUGUCCAGGAAACUCUCACCAACUACCGUGGCAAGAGGCCGAGAAAUACGAUUCAAAUGAACAGCAAAGGUCCUGUGACUUGGACGACGACGAUGAGAAUUUGCCAUUCUCGAGAGAACUAAGGAGUGCCUAGGUCCCAAACCACUAUGUAAUGCUAAAGAUACCAAAGUAUGAUGGAAGAGGUGACCCAGAGAAGCACCUAAAUGCUUAUAAAACUCACAUGAGCCUAAGGGAUGCCACCCCAGCUGUGAAGUGUAAGGCUUUCCAUUUGACACUUAGUGGAGCAGUUGAAAUUUGGUAUAGUAGAUUACACCUGGGAGCAUAAAAAGCUGGCCCGAGUUCAAGACAACGUUCUUGAAGAGGUUCGCGGUAAGCAAAGAGGGAGAGACCCCCAUCCAACGUCUCCAAGACAUGAGACAAGCACAUGGGGAGUCCCUAAAAAGCUUCCUAUCACGCUUCACCGAUGAGAUGACGUAUUGCGGGCAAGUCACCGACCGUGAGGCACUAUCCGCAUUAAGGAGAGGUUUGAACAUGAAUACCCUAUUCUAGAGGGACGUGCAAAAUCAAGAUCCCACCACCUAUGAUACCCUACUCGAGAUGAUGAGGCAUGAAAUCAUCAAUGAAGAAUUAAUUGAGCAUAGGAACAGGGCAAGUAGGGGCCUCCCACCUCCUCAAAGGCAGCGUGCUAGAGGGCCGACCUCCCACCUGAUGGACUGCCAAAUGAACCAGGCUGGAAAUGAAAGUUCUGGCCAAGCACUUGCCAUUACCACUUUGAACGCGGUUCCUACCUUGGCAUAUGAGUAUAUCAACCCAAUUACUAACACCCAGCGGACGGAACCCCACAAGGAUCCCAUAGGGAGAGAGGUCGAGGCCAGGGUUCGGGACUUAGAAAUAGGUCAAAUCAGAACCCACCAGGAUACUGUGUACACCACCGGUCCUAUGGACACGACACAGUGGAUUGCAGAGACUAUGCGCACCGCUCCCAGCUGGAACCCCCUAGGAACAGGAAUGAAUCGCUCCAGGCAAAUAGGCCCCUGCCCAGGCACGACAACCGACAUAGGCACGAGGAGGCUACUCCCCGUCAAAGGGAUGUUUCCCCAAGACGAAGGGAAUGUGAGACGGAGAGGCCUAGAAAAGGAUGCAGGUAUCAAAGAAAUCGACAAGCCCAGGAUGAGGCCCCUAUCCACGAGAUAGACACCAUAUUUGGAGGCCCAUAUGUCGACGGUGAGACACGAAACGCCAAAAGGAAUUACGCCCGGGAAGCUAAAUACCCCACUUUGGCAGGCUACAUUGUGGACAGCAGCUCCUGGAGGAGCUAAUUUCUACCUAUUGUCUUCACCCAGGAAGACGUCGAAGGGGUUCACUACCCCAAUUGCAAUGCACUUGUUGUGAGAGCCGUCAUAGCCCGAAAUGGGCGCAAGCGAAUGUUAGUUGACAACGGUAGCUCUGUCAACAUUCUAUUCGGAUCCGCCUUUGACAAGAUGAUAUUGGAUCAUCAGUUGACACCCACCACAACUCCUCUGUACGGAUUCACUGGAGAUAGCAUCACUCUAAAGGAAAAGAUAACACUUGCAGUGGAAAUGGGAAAAUCUCCCCAAACUAUGAUGAACUUCAUGGAGUUUCUCAUUGUCGACAGUCGAUCGUCUUACCAUGGAGUAUUAGGUAGGCUAGCCUUAAAGGAAUUGAGAGCAGUCACCUCCAUCCACCACCUAUGCAUGAAAUUUCCGACGAAAAAUGGGGUGGCAAUGGUGAGAGGUGACCAAAGAGGGUCGAGAGAGUGCUAUCUAAGCUCCAUAAAAAAGGUAGAGCCUCGGGACAUCCAUGUAAUCAUAGCCGAUAUAGUCAUGGCUGACGUCCCAGGUGAUGCUCCCACUGAAUCAGAAGAUAUCGAUAUGAUAGAUACACUACCCAAUCCGGAGGUCUUGGUCAUUGAUGAGAUUGAUCCCCGUAUAAUUGAACAUGAACCUCAAACUAAUGGAAGAAAUUUUAUUUUUCCUUGUAUUGUAUGUUGAUAACAUUUUGCUUGCUAGCAGUAACUUAGGGUUGCUUCAUGAGACAAAGAAAAUGUUGUCUGCUAAUUUUGAGAUGAAAGAUCUUGAAGAAACUUCCUAUGUACUUGACAUUGAAAUACAUCGUGAUAGAAAUCGUGGUUUAUUAGGACUUUCUUAGAAAGCUUAUAUACGACGUGUUCUAGAAAGGUUUAAUAUGCAGAAUUGUGCACCUGGUGAUGUACCUAUCAUAAAAGGAGAUAAGUAUAACAAAACUUAAUGUCCAAAGAAUGAGUUGGAAAGGGAGUCUAUGAAGAUGAUCCCAUAUGCUAGUGCUGUGGAGAGCUUGAUGUAUGCUCAAAUUUACACUAGACCGGAUAUAGCCUACGCAGUAAGUGUCCUUAGCAGAUUUCAGUCUAAUCCAGGACAAGAGCAUUGGAAAGUAGCUAAGAAAGUUAUGAGAUAUUUGAAGAAAACUGAAAGUUAUAUGCUUACAUUCCAGCGUACAAAUCAUCUUGAGGUGGUAGGAUAUUCAGAUUCUGAUUUUGCUGGAUGUCGAGAUGAUUUGAAAUCAACCUCAGGUUAUAUUUUUACAUUAGCUGGUGGUGCCAUUUCUUGGAAAAGUGUUAAACAGACUUUAGUGGCGUCUUCUACUAUGCAAGCUGAAUUUGUGGCAUGUUAUGGGGCUACAGUUAAAGCCGUUUGGUUAAGAAAUUUUAUCUCUGGCUUGAAAGUUGUUUAUUCCAUCUCAAGACUGAUCACUAUCUACUGUGAUAACAGAACAGUAGUAUUCUUUUCAAAGAAUAAUAAAAGUUCUGGUAGAUCAAAACAUAUUGACAUCAAAUAUUUGGUUGUUAGAGACAGAGUCAAAGAAGCGCAGACGAAAAUAGAGCAUAUCAAUACAGAGGCGAUGGUUGCUGAUCCCUUGACUAAGGGACUCGCUCCAAAAGUUUUUAAGACACAUGUUACUAAUAUGGGUAUUGUGGAAACAUAUGAUAUUUUUGGUUAGUGGGAGUUAUUUAUGUAAAGAACUACGUUUUGGGCUUGAUCCCUUUACGGGGUACGUAGGCAACCCAUAUGUUUUCGGGUUCAGCCCCUUCUGAUAAUAAAAUAUUUUUCCCCUAUCCAUGGACUAUUUUGAGCAUGCAUUUGACUUAUGUCUUUUAUUAUAAUAUUAUUGUGAUCUUGAGAUAUGACAUGUAAAGGCAUAAGAUGAGUCUCUUUUAAAGACAUGUGGCUUCAUUUUGAUUCGAAGUAUUAUGAGGACCGAUAUGAGUUAGCACAAUUUUUGAUCACAUUUGGUGCUAAAUUCAUACCACAUACUACCACAUUGGUUGGAGGAUGGGGAUCCAUGUCGAUCAGGAUGUUGACAUUUGUAGCUGUGGAAUGGUCUUACAUCUCUUAAAUUGGUGUAAUGACUUCCAUGUUCGGUGUUAAUAUUCUUGUUGGACCGGAUGAUGUUACGUAAGGUGUUAUCAUUGGAGCUAUACUUUUGUGGCCACAUAUGUAGUCUAACCCGGGUAUUAAAACUUUUUUAUGGCAAUCAAAUGUUUGCCCAAGUGGGAGAAUGUUGGAAUAAAUAAUAAUUCUAUAUGUGGGCUUCACAUUUGAUUGCAAAAUUUUACGGGUUAGGUAUAUGGCUCAUAAUAAUAUUUGUGUUUAGGCCAAAUUUAUUAAGUGAUCAAUUGAGCCUUUUAUACUUUACGGGUUGUAAUUAAUUUGAUGUGGUAAUUUAAAGUAUGUAGGCCGGAAAUAAACCCUAAUUAGAAUUCUAGUCGUAAUGGGACGACUCAAAUUAUUUCCUAUGUAUAAAGGUUAGGUCCCCUCUCCUCUCUAUAUAUUUUUAUUAGCUUGUCCCAUUGAUAGCUAAUACUUUUGGGAGGAGCAAGGAGUGGAAGAUCUUGACUGCUAUUACAACUACUAUUUAUAUCAAUAAUGGCUUUCACAGGUAUGAAUUUGGUUUAUUAAUUUAUUAUUUGGUGAUUCUUGAUUCUUAGCAUGAUUAUAAUUAAAUUUAACACAUACACGAAUCACAAACAAAAACGGUUAGAGUAAACAUACAUACAUAACACACACACACACACACAUGUUUUAGUUGGACCAAUAACAAGGUUAAAUGAGCCAAGAGUCAAAACCAUCCAAGAGGUAAUAUAAAUGGGCCGAGUAGAGCCUUUGGACUUAGUUGUUGUAAUUAAAUGAGCCAAGAAUCGAAACAAUCUGAAAGGUAAUAUGUGUGGGUUGGGGAGAGUCUUUGGACUUGGUUGUUGGUAAUUAAUUUAUCAUUGACUAAGGCUUGUGAAGUUAAAUUCCCAUGCUUAGCAUCAUUGUUGGGGAUUUAUUGGGUAUCAAAACACAACAAAAAAAAUUCUAACAAUUGAUAAAAUCACAUAAACUUUAGAGUUCAAAUCCUCGAUUCACAUAUUUAAAUUCUUGGAUAGUUGCCAUAAACCCAACUCACCGGAUUUCCUCAUUCUUUUCUUCUCUCUCUC
rnacentral:lncRNA from 1 species